UGCUAGUUUGGAGUACUUACAAUGGGCUCAGCACUGUGUUGGUCUUUUUGUAGGUGUUCAUCUUACUUAAUCUUCUCCUGGAAUCCUAUUAGGUCAUUAUUACUGGCUCCAUUUUGCAGAUGAGAAAACUGAGGCUCAGCAAGGUGGUAUGACUUGCUGAAAGUCGCACAGAAUGUAUAGCACGGAACUGGGAAUCAAACUCAGGUCACGGUUUUUCCUAUGACCCCUACUUGGUGGAGGCACCAAGCCAUGCUGGUUACCUGAUGGGGACUGACAGCGUCUGUCACUGGAAUUAACUAACUGGGGCCUGGCCUUGUGCCUGAAUGUUGAGAGAGCCAGCCACCUGGAAAGUCGUGCCAGUUCAUGUGGCCCAAUGGGUAAAAUUUCUCCAUCACGCCCACUCCUCUGCUUCCCUCCUAACCCACUCAGGGUUCCUGCUUCUGAUGAGGGCAGGGACCUCCAGUUGACAAUUUAGCUCCCUAAAGCAAAAAAGAGUCUUUUCCUCCUGAUCAUUAAAAACUCAAACAGGAAAAAACAAACAAACAAAAAACCUAUUUUAAAACAGGGUUUAACAGGAUUCUUUGCUGUUUCCCAGAGACAUCCUGUGCUUUAUAUUUUAUUGGCAAUUAAGUGGGGGUGGAAGAUACCCUUUGUGACUCAAGUAAGGAACUGCCACCACCCACCCCAGGUUGCCUGCCCUCCGUGGUUACAUCCCAGCUACAGCCAGGACAUGUGAAGGAUAAUCAAUGAAUCAGCAGGCAAGCAGCAUGAAUAGGGAGGGAAGAAAGCCUUCCUCCUGG
rnacentral:lncRNA from 1 species